rnacentral:rRNA from 1 species
UACGUAGGUGGCGAGCGUUGUCCGGAAUUACUGGGUGUAAAGGGCGUGUAGGCGGGAAUGUAAGUCAGAUGUGAAAUCCCAGGGCUCAACUCUGGAGCUGCAUCUGAAACUAUGUUUCUUGAGUGAUGGAGAGGAAAGCGGAAUUCCUAGUGUAGCGGUGAAAUGCGUAGAUAUUAGGAGGAACACCAGUGGCGAAGGCGGCUUUCUGGACAUUAACUGACGCUGAGGCGCGAAAGCGUGGGGAGCAAACAGG